rnacentral:rRNA from 1 species
GUGACGGGUGAGUAACGCGUGAGAAUCUGCCAUCAGGUCUGGGACAACCACUGGAAACGGUGGCUAAUACUGGAUGUGCCCUUCGGGGUGAAAGGUUAACUGCCUGUUGAUGAGCUCGCGUCUGAUUAGCUAGUAGGUGUGGUAAAGGCGCACCUAGGCGACGAUCAGUAGCUGGUCUGAGAGGACGAUCAGCCACACUGGGACUGAGACACGGCCCAGACUCCUACGGGAGGCAGCAGUGGGGAAUUUUCCGCAAUGGGCGAAAGCCUGACGGAGCAAUACCGCGUGAGGGAGGAAGGCUCUUGGGUCGUAAACCUCUUUUCUCAGGGAAGAACACAAUGACGGUACCUGAGGAAUAAGCAUCGGCUAACUCCGUGCCAGCAGCCGCGGUAAUACGGAGGAUGCAAGCGUUAUCCGGAAUGAUUGGGCGUAAAGCGUCCGCAGGUGGCGAUGUAAGUCUGCUGUUAAAGAGUCUAGCUCAACUAGAUAAGAGCAGUGGA